GCAGCUCAGUAGUAGAGCAUCUGAUUUGCAUGCAGAAGGUCCCAAGUUCAAUCCCUGGCAUCUCCA